AACGCGAAGAACCUUACCUACCCUUGACAUCCUCGGAAUCUGGCAGAGAUGCCGGAGUGCCUUCGGGAACCGAGAGACAGGUGCUGCAUGGCUGUCGUCAGCUCGUGUUGUGAGAUGUUGGGUUAAGUCCCGUAACGAGCGCAACCCCUGUCCCUAGUUGCCAACGAGUAAAGUCGGGAACUCUAGGGAGACUGCCGGUGACAAACCGGAGGAAGGUGGGGAUGACGUCAAGUCAUCAUGGCCUUUAUGGGUAGGGCUACACACGUGCUACAAUGGGCAGUACAGAGGGUUGCCAACCAGCGAUGGGGAGCUAAUCUCAGAAAACUGUUCGUAGUCCGGAUUGGAGUCUGCAACUCGACUCCAUGAAGCUGGAAUCGCUAGUAAUCGCGGAUCAGAACGCCGCGGUGAAUACGUUCCCGGGCCUUGUACACACCGGUACUA
rnacentral:rRNA from 1 species